rnacentral:rRNA from 1 species
UACGAAGGGUGCAAACGUUGCUCGGAAUUAUUGGGCGUAAAGCGCACGUAGGCGGCUUAGCAAGUCGGAUGUGAAAUCCCUCGGCUCAACCAAGGAAGUGCACUCGAAACUGCCAAGCUAGAGUAUCGGAGAGGUUGGUGGAAUUCUCGGUGUAGAGGUGAAAUUCGUAGAUAUCGAGAGGAACACCGGUGGCGAAGGCGGCCAACUGGACGAAUACUGACGCUGAGACACGAAAGCGUGGGGAGCAAACAGG